rnacentral:rRNA from 1 species
AACGAACGCUGGCGGCAGGCCUAACACAUGCAAGUCGAGCGAGGACUCCGGUCCUAGCGGCGGACGGGUGAGUAACGCGUGGGAACGUGCCCUUUGCUUCGGAAUAGCCCUGGGAAACUGGGAGUAAUACCGGAUGAGCCCUUUGGGGGAAAGAUUUAUCGGCGAAGGAUCGGCCCGCGUUGGAUUAGGUAGUUGGUGGGGUAAUGGCCUACCAAGCCGACGAUCCAUAGCUGGUUUGAGAGGAUGAUCAGCCACACUGGGACUGAGACACGGCCCAGACUCCUACGGGAGGCAGCAGUGGGGAAUCUUAGACAAUGGGGGAAACCCUGAUCUAGCCAUGCCGCGUGAGCGAUGAAGGCCUUAGGGUUGUAAAGCUCUUUCAGCUGGGAAGAUAAUGACGGUACCAGCAGAAGAAGCCCCGGCUAACUCCGUG